rnacentral:misc_RNA from 1 species
CACGGAGAGGCCUCCAUCGGUCUUUCAACCUUGCCUAUCGUACCCUUUUUGUUGUUCCCUCGGCGGGGUAAAGCCCGCCGGCGGGAAGCUCGAAAAACCCUUUGCAAUCAGCAUCCAAAAACUCUGAUUACAAAACCUUAAAUCGUUA